rnacentral:rRNA from 1 species
AACGAACGCUGGCGGCAUGCCUAACACAUGCAAGUCGAACGAUGGUCUUCGGAUCAUAUUGGCUCACGGGUGCGUAACGCGUGGGAAUCUGCCCUUGGGUUCGGAAUUACAGUUGGAAACGACUGCUAAUACCGGAUGAUGUCGAUAAGACCAAAGAUUUAUCGCCCGAGGAGGAGCCGGCGUCGGAUUAGCUAGUUGGUGGGGUAAAGGCCUACCAAGGCGACGAUCCGUAGAUUGUCUGAGAGGAUGAUCCACCACACUGAGACUGAGACACGGCCCAGACUCCUACGGGAGGCAGGAGUGGGGAAUAUUGGAAAAUGGGCGCAAGCCUGAUCCAGCAAUGCCGCGUGAGUGAUGAAGGCCUUAGAGUUGUAAAGCUCUUUUACCCGGGAAGAUAAUGACGGUACCGGGAGAAUAAGCCCCGGCUAACUCCGUG